CUCCCAAAACCCUUGUAGAUUAUAGAUGUGAGCCACUGCUCCUGGCCUUACUUCCAUUUUUAAAAAAUUAGUAAUACUGCUUCUGUCAAGGUCAUUAAUGACAUCCAUUUUGCAAAGUUAUUUUGUCAAUUCUUAAUCCACUUUAUACUUAGCAUUUCACAACCAAAUGCACCUGCUAAUCAUUCUUCCUCUUUGAACAGUCUUCUUCCUUUACCUUUGCGGACACUAAUUUAUGUUGUCUUCUUCCCACCUCACUGUUUCUUCACUUUCUCCUUACUCCUCUGUUGUUUCUUCAUUUUUGUUCUGACAUUUGUUUUUACACAGCUGUCUUUUCAAAAUUUGUGGUGAGAAUAUUUGAGAUCUAGUCUCUUAAAUUUCAGGUAUACAGUGCAUUAUUAUUAAUUAUAGUCAGCAUGCUGUACGUUAGGUCGACAGAGCUUGACUUUCCAUCUCUCUGACUGAAACUGUCUUCCCCCAAAUAGCUUCAAGGCUUCCUCUCCUGCUGCUUUAAAUGGUCCUUCUCAUGAGGUCAACCCUGACCAUGUUAUUAAAAAUUGACACCCUUAGUUACACUUACUUAUAUCCUUACCCUGCUAUAUUUUUCAUAGAUAUAUUCACCUGAUAAAAUGCUGUAUAUAUGAUUCACUGGUUUACUGAUGAUAUUUAUUGUCAUUAUUUUACUACCACAUUGUAAGCUGUGUGAAGACAUGGAUUUCCUUGUUCAUUUGUUUUGUUUACCUCUACACUCUUCAAACAUAGGAGCAGGUAUUCUGAAAUAGUUGUUGACUUCCUAAAAUUAAGUGAUAAAACAUAUAUGACAAUAUAUAACUUUUGGGCCCUGUGACUGGUACAUGCUAUAUAUAUAUAUAUAUAUAUAUAUAUAUAUAUAUAUAUGGAACAAAGAUACUCACUUUCCCUAUAUUUCAUUAAAUUUUCAAAAUCUCAAGGCCCAUAGAAAGUUAUAACAUGGGGAAAUUUUUAAAAAUUGCUAUCUGUCUACUAGUAGCUAAAUUAUACAACUAAAUCAUUCACAAUCUAAGUUUAAUUAUGUUUACUCUUCCCCCAUACAUGUAGGAUAUUCAGCUAUUUUGCCCCCUGCCCCUAGAACCAAUAUCUUUUGUUUACUAAAGGAGGUAAGUUGUAUUUAACUAUUACAUAUUUAAAAAGAUUGGCCAGCUGAUUGUUUUGGUUGCAAUUUUAAUAAAUCAAAUUUGUCAAAUAGUUUAAACUGUCAUUGUUAGGCACACACUUUUCAUAGCUACAAAUGAACUUUACCACUUGUUUUCUACAAUAAGUGACUUUGGGAAUAAACAGAAGACAGAAACAAUACUAAAUCAUAAGGAUAUAUUAAUUGAAAUUUUGGGGAGAAAUUUUUAUGAAUAACAAGGAAA